AGGGCACUACCAGGAGUGGAUCCUGCGGCUCAAUUUGACUCAACACGGGAAAGCUCACCUGGUCCGGACACUGGAAGGAUUGACAGAUUAAGAGCUCUUUCUUGAUUCAGUGGGUGGUGGUGCAUGGCCGUUCUUAGUUGGUUGAGCGAUUUGUCUGGUUAAUUCCGAUAACGAACGAGACUCUAGCCUACUAAAUAGAUCGUCGGCUUACAAACGCCGAUGAGACUUCUUAGAGGGACAGGCGGCGAUUCAGCCGCACGAAACAGAGCAAUAACAGGUCUGUGAUGCCCUUAGAUGUCCGGGGCCGCACGCGCGCUACACUGAAGUGAUCAGCGUGCAUUUUCAGCCUACUCUGCCAAGAGUGGGAAACCCAAUGAACCUUCUUCGUGAUUGGGAUAGGGGAUUGUAAUUAUUCCCCUUGAACGAGGAAUUCCCAGUAAAGCGCGAGUCAUAAGCUCGCGUUGAUUACGUCCCUGCCCUUUGUACACACCGCCCGUCGCUACUACCAAUUGAAUGUUU
rnacentral:rRNA from 1 species